rnacentral:rRNA from 1 species
CCAGCAGCCGCGGUAAUUCCAGCUCCAAUAGCGUAUAUUAAAGUUGUUGCAGUUAAAAAGCUCGUAGUUGAACCUCUGGCUUCUCUCUCAAGGCUUUGGCCUUGUGGAGAGGGGUCAUCCGCCAGAGAGGCGCGUUCGGCAUUAAUUUGUCGGCGUGAGUAUCUGGCACUUUACUUUGAAAAAAUUAGAGUGUUCAAGGCAGGCUAACGCCAUGAAUACACAAGCAUGGAAUAAUGGAAUAGGACUUAGGUUCAUUUUAUUGGUUAUUGAAUCUAAGUAAUGAUUAAUAGGGACAGUUGGGGGCAUUAGUAUUUAAUUGUCAGAGGUGAAAUUCUUAGAUUUAU